rnacentral:rRNA from 1 species
GACGAACGCUGGCGGCGUGCCUAAUACAUGCAAGUAGAACGCUGAAGGAGGAGCUUGCUCUUCUGGAUGAGUUGCGAACGGGUGAGUAACGCGUAGGUAACCUGCCUGGUAGCGGGGGAUAACUAUUGGAAACGAUAGCUAAUACCGCAUAACAGUAGAUGUUGCAUGACAUUUACUUAAAAGGUGCAAUUGCAUCACUACCAGAUGGACCUGCGUUGUAUUAGCUAGUUGGUGGGGUAACGGCUCACCAAGGCGACGAUACAUAGCCGACCUGAGAGGGUGAUCGGCCACACUGGGACUGAGACACGGCCCAGACUCCUACGGGAGGCAGCAGUAGGGAAUCUUCGGCAAUGGACGGAAGUCUGACCGAGCAACGCCGCGUGAGUGAAGAAGGUUUUCGGAUCGUAAAGCUCUGUUGUAAGAGAAGAACGAGUGUGAGGGUGGAAAGUUCACACUGUGACGGUAUCUUACCAGAAAGGGACGGCUAACUACGU